rnacentral:tRNA from 1 species
GGAGUAUAACUCAGCGGUAGAGCGCCUGCCUAGCAUGCACGAUAUCCUGGGUUCAAUCCCCAGUACCUCCA